UUUUCCAGAGGGCUAAAGCUGCCUAUGGUCAGCGAAGGGAGCUGAGGGGCAGAGGGCUCAGGCCUCAGGCCUCCACACUGGUGUCCAAAUUCCAGCAGUCUUUGCAGGACCUCACAGCCAGGCUGAGAGGGAGCCAUGCCUUCUUCAUCCGCUGCAUCACCCCUAACCCCAGGAAGCUGUCAAAUGUCUUUGAUGUGGAAUAUGUCAACUGUCAGCUGCGACAUUCUGGGAUACUGGAGGCCAUCCACAUCCUGAAGGAGGGGUUCCCA